CUUUUCCACUUAUAAAAGUUAACGUUAAGGUUCCUCAUGGUUAGAGACAAAUGCAAUCGCAUGGCAGGAUGCUGUAAAAGGACCAAUCUUCAGUCAGGAGAACAACUGAGAUAAUCCGUCCACAAUACGAGGGGUGAUUCUCAAGUCUGUUGGAGCCCAGGCAAAAAGGGACAAGGACACCUGACAGCCCAGUGUGCCCAGCAGAGCUGACAUGAGGGCUGUUUCAACUGAAUCACACACUCUGCUUGCCAGAGGUGAUCCAGGUGUUUUGUUUGUUUUUCUUUUUGUUCCUUCCCCCCUUUCUCAUCAUCUCUUCUCCCCUCUGUUUUUCUUUCUCUCCCUCUUUCUUUCAUUCUUUCCUUCUCCCUGUCCUUUCCCCCAGUCAUGUCUGUCCCGUCUGUAACAACUGAUAAUAAAAUAAAAUAAAUAAACAAUUAUAAUAAAGGUCAAUCAAAUGGACCAACAUGGCAUCUUUCUCGGCCUUCAAACAACAAUUCUGAUGGCUAAAGAUCCAAAUGGGACAGGCAAAAAAUAUAAAUGAUGAUAACCAUGUGCAGCUUCUCUCGUCUUCCAUUUUUCCCUGAUAUGUUUCACUCUAAAUCAGACACGUGUUAAAGUGUGUUGGCUGCAUGUUAAGGUCAAAAUGCUGAUGAGCUCUGAUCCAGUUGACUGAUAUACUCUGCUCUACAUCCUGCACUGAAAUAUGAGGAUUG
ensembl:lncRNA